CCUACGGGUGGCAGCAGUGAGGAAUAUUGGUCAAUGGACGCAAGUCUGAACCAGCCAUGCCGCGUGCAGGAAGACGGCUCUAUGAGUUGUAAACUGCUUUUGUACGGGGGUAAACGCAGAUACGCGUAUCUGUCUGAAAAUAUCGUACGAAUAAGGAUCGGCUAACUCCGUGCCAGCAGCCGCGGUAAUACGGAGGAUUCAAGCGUUAUCCGGAUUUAUUGGGUUUAAAGGGUGCGUAGGCGGUCGGAUAAGUUAGAGGUGAAAUCCCGAGGCUCAACGUCGGAAUGGCCGCUGAUACUGGUCGGCGAGAGAUGAGGUGCGGUAGGCGGAAUGUACGGUGUAGCGGUGAAAUGCUUAGAGAUCAUACAGAACACCGAUUGCGAAGGCAGCUUACCAGGCUACUUCUGACGUUGAGGCACGAAGGCGUGGGGAGCGAACAGGAUUAGAUACCCGAGUAGUC
rnacentral:rRNA from 1 species